UACGUAGGGUGCAAGCGUUGUCCGGAAUCAUUGGGCGUAAAGCGCGCGUAGGUGGCUUUGUAAGUCCGUUGUGAAAGUCAAAGGCUCAACCUUUGAAUGCCGAUGGAUACUGCGGAGCUAGAGUACGGAAGAGGCGAGUGGAAUUCCUGGUGUAGCGGUGGAAUGCGCAGAUAUCAGGAAGAACACCCGUGGCUAAGGCGGCUCUCUAGUACGGUACUGACGCUGAGACGCGAAAGCGUGGGGAGCGAACAGG
rnacentral:rRNA from 1 species